rnacentral:tRNA from 1 species
CCCCUUGUGGUGAAACCGGCAGACACGCCUGACUCAAAAUCAGGUGCUCAGAACGAGCGUGUGGGUUCGAAUCCCACCGAGGGGACCA